rnacentral:rRNA from 1 species
UAGGGAAUAUUGGACAAUGGGGGGAACCCUGAUCCAGCCAUGCCGCGUGUGUGAAGAAGGCCUUAGGGUUGUAAAGCACUUUAAGCGAGGAGGAGGGUACUGGUAUUAAUACUACCAGGUACGGGACGUUACUCGCAGAAUAAGCACCGGCUAACCCUGUGCCAGCAGCCGCGGUAAUACAGAGGGCGCGAGCGGUAAUCGGAUUUACUGGGCGUAAAGCGUGCGUAGGCGUCUAAUUGAGUCGGAUGUGCAAUCCCCUAGCUUAACUUGGGAAUUGCAUUCGAUACUGGUUAGCUAGAGUGUGGGAGAGGAUGGUAGAACUCCAGGUGUAGCGGUGAAAUGCGUAGAGUACUGGAGGAAUACAGAUGGCGAAGGCAGCGAUCUGGCCUAACACUGACGCUGAGGUACGAAAGCAUAGGGAGCAAACAGG